rnacentral:rRNA from 1 species
AUUGAACGCUGGCGGCAGGCCUAACACAUGCAAGUCGAACGCGUGGCGGACGGGUGAGCAAUGUAUGGGACACUGCCUGAUGGAGCGGGAUAACUACUGGAAACGGUAGCUAAUACCGCAUACCCUAGGAUGUGCCCAGAUGGGAUUAGCUAGUGGGUGGGGUAAAGGCUCACCUAGGCGACGAUCCCUAGCUGGUUUGAGAGGAUGACCAGCGACACUGGAACUGAGACACGGUCCAGACUCCUACGGGAGGCAGCAGUGGGGAAUAUUGGACAAUGGGCGAAAGCCUGAUGCAGCCAGGCCGCGUGUAUGAAGAAGGCCUUCGGUUUGUAAAGUACUUUCAGCGGGGAGGCGUUACCCGCAGAAUAAGCACCGGCUAACUCCGUGCCAGCAGCCGCGGUAAUAC